UGGCUGAGGAAGAGCAAGAGGAAAGGGCAGCGGUAGGGAGAGCCAUGUAACACAAGAGGCUCCCAACUCAGCUUCAUGGUUUUGAAAGUGAGGAAAGGGACUCAGGAGAAAGGGAUGCAGAGAUGUGUAGAAACCGGAAAAGGUCAGGAAAGCAGAUCUCCUCCACAGACUCCAGGAAGAACUGAAAGCCCUCUGGAUACCGAGAUCUUAGCCCAUUGAGACCCACCCCAGGCUCCAAUCUUUCUCAGCAGUAAGAUAAUGAGUGUGUUUUAAGUGGCUAAGUCUGUGGUCAUUUGUUAUGGAAGCAGUAAGAGAUGUCCACUCGGGCUCCUGUUAUUUCUCAUAUCUGAAGAUUCUAUUUGGAGUCAGUAACUGACUCUAGGACACAGAGAUGAUGGGGAAAUUCCCCAAAAUUCAAAGCAACUAGAGAGAAGAAAAUGGCUGUGGAAGAAUGAAGGUGCAGGCUCAAAGAGUUGUUUUGUCUGUGUCUUGCCACAGCAGCAGAAAGCAGACCAGGAUACUCUGUCUGAAAAGCCUUUAAGGAAUCCACCAAACAAAAAUGGAUCCAAAGUGAGAGACCGUGGGUACCGGCAGAGGAGAAUGGACUCUGAAACAGUACCUGGGACCAAAUCCAUCACACUUGAUGUGCCGGGAUCAUAGCUGACCUGAGCUCGGGAAGGUGUGGCUUUGAGACCUUCCGAUGAACUUGACUGAAAUGAAGAUUCUAUUUUCUACUCUAGUUAACAUUCCAAUGUGUGUGUGUGUGUGUGUGUGUGUGUGUGUGUGUGUGUGUGCAUGAAAUUUUUCUGUGUCAAUUUAUUAAUAUCUAAAGUAAACAGGAUUUCUGAAACAACAUA